AUUGAACGCUGGCGGCAUGCCUUACACAUGCAAGUCGAACGGUAACAGGUCUUCGGAUGCUGACGAGUGGCGAACGGGUGAGUAAUACAUCGGAACGUGCCCGAUCGUGGGGGAUAACGGAGCGAAAGCUUUGCUAAUACCGCAUACGAUCUACGGAUGAAAGCAGGGGACCGCAAGGCCUUGUCCGGACGGAGCGGCCGAUGGCAGAUUAGGUAGUUGGUGGGAUAAAAGCUUACCAAGCCGACGAUCUGUAGCUGGUCUGAGAGGACGACCAGCCACACUGGGACUGAGACACGGCCCAGACUCCUACGGGAGGCAGCAGUGGGGAAUUUUGGGCAAUGGGCGAAAGCCUGAUCCAGCCAUGCCGCGUGCAGGAUGAAGGCCUUCGGGUUGUAAACUGCUUUUGUACGGAACGAAAAGCCUCCUUCUAAUAAAGAGAGGUCAUGACGGUACCGUAAGAAUAAGCACCGGCUAACUACGUGCCAGCAGCCGCCGUAACAC
rnacentral:rRNA from 1 species